UAGUUCUUCGAAAUACCGCCGGUGCA
rnacentral:sRNA from 1 species